rnacentral:lncRNA from 1 species
GUCAAAGAAGAUUUCGAAGACGAGACUGGUCCGGAGGAUAGGCUUUCUUUUCCUUGGCCGACUACGCGGUAGAAAAGCCAACCAUGGCGAAGCGAAGGAAGUGCUCUGGAAAGGGCGGGCUGGGCGAACUCGGGAGUGGAAGAAGUUGAUGUCCCCGGGAGUCCGCCUGAGAUCUAGAUCUUUCUCUUUUUCUUGCUUGAGGUCUGAGAUCGGAUCCUUCAUUCAUUCGUGACUCGUGGCAUUGAACUUCCUUUUCUUAUAAUAAAUCACCUUCUUUCUACAGUGAAAGCUUAGCUUAGGCUGACGGCCUUGGGAAUGGUCAAGAGAUUAGAACCAACCGCGUAGUGGGCAGCCUUCCUCAUCACCCUAGAAGGAGCCCGGAUCCUGAAAGGGGGACCUAUGAUUCCGCUGACUCAGCAAGAAUUUGAGGUGGGGCGGAGACUGAAUUUUCCUCUCCUCUGGGACAGAAUUUCUCUUGACUUCUGAUUCCGCUCUUCUCUACGAGGAUCCCGUAAUAAUCAGACUGAUUCUUUCUCCUUCUGCCGAAGAAAUAGAGUCCCGUCAGUCCUUCCUCUUUGUCGAGUUUUGCGCUUUCUUUCCAAAAAGAGAAUGAAAUCACGUAUUUUCAGAGUUAGAAGAUGGGAAUCCAAGGAUUUCUCCUUCAAGGCCGACGGAAAGAGAUUGUACACGGAUCCUCCUGGUUUUCUUCCUGCGAGUCAUCCUAUUAUUUCUUCCUUUUUCUACUUCUUCCUAUAGAGGUUCCUAUUUCCCAACCAUGAAUAAAGACGGGGGAGGUCCCUUUCAAUCCCACCACUAAUAGACGAGACGAGGGUAGAUGGGUCGCCGGAUCAGUAUGAAGCAGCGGCCGGGUCAGAGUCAGGUUGCAUCCCUUUCAGGAAUGAGAAGGAUAGAGGAAGAGUAACAAGAAAAGCAAGUUCAAAUAAACUAAGAUUUUGGGCUAGUGAUGAAAAUAUUCAAGAUUCCACUAUUCGAAAGCCUAUCCUUUCUGAGAACCUUCUGACUUAUCUUCUUUUUUAGAACCGUCGAAGAACAUUUGCCAGAGGAGUUGAGUCUUCUUCUUCGCCUACCGCUAAUAGAAUAGCUGAGUCCGGGAAAUGCGUCCCCUUACUAAACUAAGAAAAUCAAGCUCAUAGUCCGGACGGGAUGAUCCAUCCGUAGGUGGUCUGCUAUUGCCUGCCCCUUUCCUUACUCAUUUAGGGCUUCCCCUUGCUUUUACAGAACUCUGAGAGUCACAUCUGCCACCUUCCUGGCCCAUUCAGGCUGGCUUUGAAAAGAGAUACUGAAGCGGGUCCAUCCUUGCAAUCAGCAUGGUCGUAUAGUUCAAGAUGUAGUGGCGUAGGCUUUGCGAGGCUCAUGGUUGAGCACAACCGCUUUUUUCUAGAACCGUAUACCUUGUCUCAUAAUCAGUGAACUUCUUGCCGAUCUCGUAUAUUGCCCUUUCUUUCCUACCAGUUUCAUCUCAUCGUGCUGACCAAGGACAGACACAACUCAUGGAUGCUUGAAUUACUUACAGAUAGAUGCAUCAGGAUAGGCUUUCCUCUUUUUCCCACGGAGCGUCCGUCCGAAGGACUACGAAGGAGGACGCCUAGUUUUAGUGGAAAAUAAGGGUCCGGAGGCUGAAUGAAAUUCUCUAAUGGAUAGGACCCACGGAGCGGUGCAAUGAAGCGUUGUAAGGAGCUUUUGUUUUGAAAGUGGCCUUUUUUAUAAGAGGACUAUCCAUAUUCACCUUAGGAUCAAAGUCAGCCCACGGAGCGGAACAUAAUCAGACUGAGACUUUAAUUCGAUCUUCAUUCUCCCACGUAGCGGUCUUCUCGUAUGAGAUCUUUCGAGGUUAGUUACGAAGGAGAGGCGCAAAGAAUAUUGCGAAAAGCCUAGCCUUUGAGAAUUUUCAUCUUCGUUCUUUCGAGAAUGAGGAGGCCCACCUUUCUUGCUCCUUCCGCCUGCUUGCGUGCUUGGAGAGGAUAAAGGUGCUUCGACUCUUAAUAAUGCAUCUUCUUUAGAUAAAGGCCGCUUCCCGGAAGGAAAGGAGUGGAGAAAGGGUCCUUCUUCCUCCCCUCCUUUCGAGAUCCUCUUUUCUAAGAACCUGUAAUAACUCCUCGUCAACUAAGCUCUUUCGCGCUAUCGUAGUAGCUUGACUCAGUAUUAGGUUAUUCAGUUCCCACCCACACUCGUAGGUUCCGAUCAAGAGAGGUGAAUCAGCUUUCUUUCUUCCGCAUCCUCUUUAGGAUUAGGAGUCGAGCCCUUGUUCAUUGAUGGCCUAGCCUCUCUGUCUUUACCAAAAGGAUAGCUUGACUCAAAAGAGAAAGGACGCUUGAAGUUCAAGAGCGACUCCGGACCCGCCCGGAAGUUGUCGAAUCAUUAGCCAAAUAAGGAGAAGAGAACAAACUGGAGUGGGAAAGGGGAGAAGCAUAAGGUUGCCCGGUUCAGAUCAGUCUUCAUUCUUUCUUCGGCUUAGCUGAGAUUCGUACCAUCAUGCCUUCUCUACAGCACCACUUUGCCUUUAACCAGAGGUAAUUCGCUCCUUUCCCGCUCCGUAGAGUUCAAGACUUCCGCUCCGUGGGGGUUAAGACUUUCUAAGAGUUAACAAGAAUACCGGAAUAAAGAAGCUUUACGGUCUCGCUCUUAAGUCGUAUUCAUCCCUCAGAAAGAUAAGAGUGAGAGGUGAGACUUCGUACUCACUCUUCCUUUGGUGCCAAGAAAAGACCUUUUAGUGUAUAGAACUCAUACAAUAUCCCUGUCUUAUGGAGCCUUGAUUUUCCCGUCCGUUUCAGACGCCAACAGGUUAAUAUGGUCCUUUGAAUAUGGAUAAACAAGUCAUCUGGACCUCGCAUAUUGAAUUGCGCCUUACAAGAUCCAGUCAAUGAAUCCGUGGGCUUACUUUGAUCCUCUCCCCCUAUUUCCUAUCGUCGGCGAGCCGCUUUCGCUCCGAAGGAGGUGCAAAGAAUAUUUCGUGGAAGAGGAAGGAAAGAAAGAAAGGUAUACAUUACAAGAAGAGAGAAGAGGAAGGCGCCAUAAGACAGGUCCGAAGGCUAGGUGCAAAGUUCGGUUAAUUACGGAAAGUCCUCCUUCCUUCCAUAUGGAUGGUCCUACUUCGGUUAAUUACGGAUGGUCCUACGGAUAAAUCACCUGGACCUUUCUUUGGCCCAUAUGGAUAGUCCUCCGGACUACGGAUAAAUCCUGCGGACUGCGGACUCCGGACUCCGGACGGCUGUCCGCUACGCUACGGCUCCGCUUCCGCGAUUAAUAUGGAUAGUCCUUCGGACGGAGAAAGAAAGGUGCAAAGAAUAUAUAGAGAAGGAGAGGAUCAAUGUAAGUAAUAUGAUGUAAGGAGAGGAGUUUUCUCCCGCCGAAUUCUUAAGGAGCAAUCAUUGAUAAGGAAGGAUCUUUUCACCUUUAGCUAGCUCGUCGGGCGAUGUCAACAAGGUCCUUCGCUCCGGACCCGCGUAGUGGGAAUGGACAUUCUUUCUUUAGUGCAGCGUCAUUUGCGAAGAAGCGAAAAGAGGAAAGAGGAAAGCCUAUCCAACCCACGGGGCGGUCUAAGGAAGGAAAGCCUACUUAAACCUACUAUCAAUGAACCGCAAUAUUCUUUGCGCCUCCCAGUCUCCUAAUGGAUAGUCCUACUUCGGUUAAUUACGGAUGGUCCUACGGAUAAAUCCUCCGGACUCCUUCCCUCCAUAUGGAUGGUCCUACGGAUAAAUCCUCCGGACUCCGGAUAAAUCCUGCGGACUGCGGACUCCGGACGUAGGACCUGUCUUUAUCAGGAGCGUAGCGAACAGCCGUCAACUACUUGAUAGUUAUCCUAUCUUUCUCCUACGCGGAAUCCAGAAUAGACCUCUCUUUCUCCGGAAAAGAAACUCAAACAAGAAUCAAACUAUGUGAAUUUCUUAUCCCUUUCCUAGGAGUUCUUCUUUCAUUGCGUUUUCCCGGCUUUUUUGCUUCUAAAUAGGACUUUUUCUCAUAUUUCUAUUUCACGAAAAUAGAUCAAAAAUGACUGAUUUUUCAUGAUUUCUUUCUACUAUUUCUUUUCAGCUCUCCUUAUCAGUCGAGCCCAAAACCUAGCAUUUCCCUCCGCGGAUUCAUCUGAAAUCUAGCAGAUUCAUAAUGAUUCUUUCAUUCGAGUUAUGAAAUCAUAAUGAUUCUUUCAUUAUCGUUAAUGAGCUUCUUUCAUUAUCGUUAAUGAGCUUCUUUCAUUAUCGUUAAUGAGCUUCUUUCAUUAUCGUUAAUGAGUGAAUUCUGCUUUUCUUGACUUUUGUGCCAGUCCGAAGGACUAUCCAUAUUCUAUUCUUUGCGCAUCUGCGUCCUUCUUUUUCGCAACGCAUAUUGAAUUGCGCCUUUUAUCUCUUUCUUCUUAAUAGACCAAAUCGAUGAAAUAGACCAAAUCGAUGAAAAGAAGGAGAAUUUGUCGGAAAUGGCCGGGAUAGCUCAGUUGGUAGAGCAGAGGACUGAAAAUCCUCGUGUCACCAGUUCAAAUCUGGUUUUCUCGGCACAUCAUGAAUUUGUAUGAGUAUCUAUUCUACGGAUUCAUUAAUAAUAUAGAUCAUUCAAGGAUACAUCAUCUUUGACCCUCAAGACUCAACAAUAUCCCCCAACUACGUUGCCUCAGUCGCAGCAAACAAAAAGAAAGCGGAAAUCCCCUAAUGGAUAGUCCUUCGGACCUGUCUUAUGGCGCCUUCGGACGGUCACAUAUUCUAUUUUUUCUCUAGUUCAUCAAAUUUCAUGGAUCCGUAGUUAGGAUCCAUAAGACUGAAUAUGGAUUUCUCAAUCGCAUAUUUCAUUGCGCCUCCGUAGCUUAAUAUGAUUUGCUCAAAUAUGCGUUCCAAAAAAAAGAAAGAAUGAAAACUUUGAAUAUUGCGUUGCGUGGAAAUGGAAAUAAUAUCCGCGCGUAGGAUGAAUGAAUAUGAGAAGAAUAUUGACAAGCGCAUUUAUCUAAGAAGAGAAAACGAGUCAAGAGGACGGAGUGCAAGGAUGAAAUCCCGUCCUCAGUCCUAUCCAUAUUAACCUGUUCAUAUAUAGACCCCUCCGCUAGGCUCAAAGAAGAUUUCUCAAAAGUCUGAUUAAAUAGCCGAUAAAAAAGCAGUGAAAUAACUGAAAUAAGCGGUCUACAAUAUAAUAUCCCCCUUUCUUAUGGAGCCUAACUACGGGGGGGGGAUCGAGAAAAUCAGACUCCAAGGGAGAGGUCAGACCAGAGAAUUCUAUUUGGUAUCGGGUGGGCUACUCUUUGUGCUUAUGUUACCAAGGAGCACAAGAGCCCUUACGUUUGGGGACAGUAAUCACUUCAAGAAAAAGGGUCGGGUAGAACAACUUCUUAGGGGAAGCUUUUUCUAUGAAGGAAGAGAAAGAAGAAAAGACGAAGCAAAGAAGCGGAGCGGUAAAGAUCUCUGGCCAGAACCUGAUAGGGCUAGCUUAGCUGCCAGAGGGAUUGGAUUCUCUCUUUAUUGUAUAUCAAGAGAACGUAGAAAUCCUUCUUUCUAGUACGCUCCCAGAAUGAGCCCAAGCCCAGAGAAUGAAAGGUGCUCCUUUUCUCUAUUCUAUAGAUAUAAGAAAGCAGCUAAUUGCUAGCUCUCUUCCUUUGGUGCGAGUGAGGGACUAACCGCCUUACCUCUGCUCACUCCGGAACUAAAGAAAGCCUACCAAAGAAGAUUGAUUGCUAAGCCAGAAAGAGAAAGAAAGCCUACCAAGAAAUCGAUCAGUCCCUAGGGUUAACAAAUUAGUAAGUUCAUGUGUCAUGUAAAUUACUCAAGGGUGUGUAGUAAGACACCCAUCCGCAGCUCAAUAUUCUUUGAACCUCACCUUGACUAGACACUCAGCGCAUCAUGACUCAAAGUAGUACUAAUUUUGAGGGAAGAAAAAAAGGCGAGAGAUAUUAUCGAGGGAAGUAGUCAUCUUCUUUGAUUCAUUCUAAGAACUCUGUCCCAAGCGGGAAAAGCUCAGAGAAAGGGAAUUACACAGGAUGAAAUGGGGAUGAAAGUAGGUUAGAGCUUAGAGAUUAUGUCCGUUGCACUGCCAUAGUCGUCGCGAAGGAGAAGGACGAGGCGCUAUAUCAUAUAUAUAGCUCUACUCAAUGAGAAUGCAUCCAGAUAGAGUGCCGCGAAUUAGAGGAGCCGAUACAGAAUGGGAAGGAAGACAGUGCUGUCUUACAUUCCGCGUGGGCCAGCCUCUCUUUAUAUGUCACCAAAGAAGACAAGAAGCCCUAUGUCUGGGGAAAGUUCUCCCUUCAAGACAUACUGCAAGAAGCAGAGGUCAAAGCACAAAAGGCUUUCUUGUGAACCAGCACGAGCGUGUGCGGAAGCUUAGAGAGAGGAUUGAGCAGUACGAUGAUUUCCUGGAGCUAAGGGGCGAUCCAGAGAUCGCAGGGCUCCUCUGGUCCAAGUACAGUACUGAAAGCAAAAUCAGGGAAGAUUCCCAGCAGAUAAAGCUAGAAAAGAGAUCCACUAUGGAGCUACGAGUAGCUUAUCUCGAGGAGAGGGGCGAAGAAGCUCGACUGAAAGGAGAGGGGCCGGCCUCUUCUAAGAAGAAUUAGAGGAUCAAUCUCUAUUCUUAGAUUGGAUUGGAUCGCCACCAACCUCGUCUUCCAGAGGCCCAUCCAUAAAGACAAGGCAACUCUUUGUCUAUGGGCGGCCAAGUACACAAAAAACCCCCUUGUUCUUAGUAUGUUAAAGAAGGGCUUAAGGGAAGAAGAAGAUCAAGCCUAGGGACAAAGGAAGAACGACUAAAAUCAAAAGGGGCACACGAUUACUUCGACCUCUGGGUCGUCGAUGAGUUCAUGGAAGACAAGGCGCAGUCCGAAAACGAAUCGGAACAAGGUCGGAAUUAGAUUCAGGGGAUGCUCACGCUCAUGGGCAGGAGUGCAGGCCUCAAUACGAAAGGACCUGAUAUAAGAAGGCCAAGGUUCCCAUUAUUUUCAUGGGAAAGCAUAUACCUUCUACCUGAACCGUGGACGAAAGGCCUUUGGCCAAGAGAAGAGAGCCUUUCACCUUUCAACUUUGACUCCAACAUAGAGGAGCUGCAAGAGGAGAGGCUUAUAGCCAAUGGGGUUGUAUUUUCGGCCGCCUGCACGAUAGCAGGGGAGCUCGUAAGGGAUCCCCGCCUUUAAUACAAUUCGUUAAGCAGAUUAGAAGUGCCUGUAAGCGACGGAAAGAUUCUUUCACUCCUUAUUAUUGAAAGGAGAAAUCCACGUGCUGGCAAUAAGGAAGGGCAGCAAAAAGGGGGAGAAAGCCUACCUGGACCGCGGAGUGGGCAUUGCUCAACUGAGAGCAUGGGACAUGAACCUACUACAGUUUGCCGUAGUACCCCAAGAAAUCCGUAAAUUCAUAGCCCAUGAGCCCACACAGCACAUAAGGGGAGCACGCCAAAGGCUGGUUAUAAGGAGGGAAGAGGACCACGAUAAGCAGGAUUACGCCUUAUGGUAGGCUUUCCUUCGUGACGUAAAAAGGGUGCCCCAGGCCUUGUUCAAGGUGACCCAGCAUCCAUCUCCAUCAGUACUCUUUCUGUUCUAAUAAGCUUUUAGCAGUAUAGCGGGAAGCAUUUUCAUUCAAUAGGGCAAGAUGGAAAUUUUCCCACUCCAUUGCAUUGGGGAAGAUUUUUGAGAAGUUUCAGCCUUAGUGCAUUCUUUUGUCUCUUCUCUCUGUCUGCCUGAGAAAGAGUUCUGAGAAUCAAAUCAACCUUCAGAGAUUCCCGCCUUCUUUCUUGACUAGUAGUAAGCAUUAUGCCUUUCAUUUCUUAACCUAGUCAAAGAGGGGGAGCCGCUGCUCCUUUGUAUAGGGAAAAAGGGUGAUAUAAAGGGAUGAAUUCUCUGGUCUAAUUAAUAAUAGACUGGGGAUCGUAGGAAAGGUUCUUUACUUGUCGGCUAGCCUAAGCUCCAUCCUACUUACUUGCUUUCUUACACAUUUAGACCGGUCCGAAGCCUGAAUUCUCGAUUUUCGGUUCAUCUGAAUUCAAAAGAAAGAAAUCAGAGCCCACUUCAUCAAAGAAAAAAAGAAGAAUGGGGACGGUCCCCUGCUUCCUUUAGUUCCUUUGGUGAACAAUAGGUCAUCUUCUACCCAGAAUUGACGAGUCUUCCCUUCUUUAAUCAACUGUAUUAUAGCUUGGGCCGCAGGGUCCUUGGCCAGGCAAGCCUUGAUAGUUUCAAGAAGGGUGCCGGCUGCUAGCUUUUAAAUGGGCGAAGAUGCACAGGGCCGCAUGUUCGCUCAUCCGACUAAGGGCUAAGGCCGCUCUCCUUUACCUGUCUUCAAAUUUCAAAGAAAAUUCGGCCAAGCAUUCUUGCCAACGAGCUUCUUUAGAGGUCAAUUUGGGUUGACUGAAAAAGUGGCAUAUCUUUCUAUUGUCCGUCUUGACUACGAACUGGGAUCCCAAGACAUAUUGUCUCCAGGCUCUAGUGUACCACUGCAAGCAUUUCUUUCUCUCCGGCUUCUCCUCUCCGCAUCCAUCCUUCAGUUUCCUGCUCUCAUAGGCAAUGGGAUGGCCGUCUUGGAGGACUAAGGCAAAAUCAGAUGCGUCGCUUUCCACUUGCUUUGCUUACAUCGGCAAUUCCGAGAACCGGCCCUUCCAUCAUGGCCUUCUUCAGAUCCCCCAGCCUGAGAUUCUGGGGUCCAUUCCAUUCCCACUUAUGGUCUUUCUUCAAGAACUCCGUUAAGGGCCCUGUUCUUGAAGAGAAUCCCUCAAGGAAGGUAGGCUUUCUGGAAAAGAAAUAGUAGGUUCUACGAGGAAAGAAGGCAAAUCCCUUACUACAGACGGCACUCUCCAGUCACGUAGAGCAGUCAUUUUGCUCUCUUCCAUGCCGAUUCGGCCACACUCGAUCACGUGACCGAGGAAGUUAAUGCCUUUCUGAGCAAAGGCAAUUUCUCUCUCUUUACAUACAGUCAACCUCAAUUUCUCAAAUACUAACUGAAGGUGAGGUUGAUGCUCUUCUAGCCUCGCGCUCUAAACCACAAUCUCGUCCAGAUAUAUAUACUAGGAUCAACUUCUCAAGGUAUGAAUGGAAAACCUGAUUCUGAAAGGUAGAAAAAGUGGCUGGAGCAUUGGUGAGGCCGAAAGGCAUUAGACUCGGAAUGAAAAGGCGUAAUCUCGUCUAAGACAAUGGUUCAUCUCCUGAAGCAAUUCGCACUUGAUAAUAAAUACCCUGAAAUCUGAUCCAAUUCUUCAAAGUACUUGGUGGAGGCGGUCAAAUAAGUCUGUGAUAAUGGGGAGAGGUCUUUCGAACUCUGAGUUUAUUCAGCGCUCGAUAGUCGAUACAUAAGCGGAGACUUCCCUCUUUCUUCUGAAUCAAGAAGAAAUAUGUGCGCGAGGACCUUUUGCAGGUCUAAUAAACCCAGCGUCCAAGAACUCUACCAAUGAGAAGUUCUGCCAAUUCUGGCGGCCCCAUGUGAUACGCAUUCUUUGCAGGGGGUCUCGCCCCGGGUAGAAGUUCUAUCUCAUGAUCUAUCCCCCUGAGUGGAGGUAGAGUCUUAGGCAAACUCUCUGCCAUUACGUCUUGGUAUUCGUCUAAGACAUACUGGACUGCCUCCGGAACUAGCUCUUUCGGACUUUCCUCAUCAACCACUGGGAUAGCCAUGAAUGAACGUGGGCUCUUCGCGGGCUAGCCCUCUCUUCAGCUGGAGAAGUUUCAUCCCUUUCUUCUCUUUGUCUGGACUACGGUGGGAUUAGAUCCUGUGACUACCAAAGAUUUGGCCAAGGAUCAAAGUAUUUGAGCUUUGCGCCUUGUGUUCAAGAAGGAAUUCCAUCCCCAGCACUACAUCAAAAUCGUCCAUCUUCACAACCAAAAAAUCCGUCUGUCCACUCCACGAUCCCAAUUUGAACCUCAUUCGUCUUGCAAUCCCCAAAAUGGGUAAGGCGGCUGAGUUUACUCCUUUCAUUUUUCCUGGGUCUUUGUCCCAAUUCUAAGACGUCGGGCCUCUGUCUCAGCAAUUCCAUUGGGGGUGGGAAUCGACCUCUUUUGGCCUCUUUCUGAUUCACCCACGCAUCUACGUACAUGAGACCUCGUUCCGCCUGUCCUUUAUUUCCCUCUGCCUUUUUCUUCAGGGCGGACAAAAACUUCAGGGCCCCGGGGUUUUCCUCGCCCUCUUCUUCCCCUGUAUUCGUCUCAUUCUUUUCUUUGUUCAUUGAUCGGCAUUGGUUCUUAACCUUGCCUGGAAUGCCUUGAGAGCAGCGAGAUUUGGGCAUUCGUAAACUCGUUGGGGGCCCUUGCACAGGAAGCAAGAUGGGGGUCCUCCUCUAUAAUUGCCUUGCUCUUGCUUCGGGUUGCGCCCUUGGUGUCCGCCUCUUGGGGGAAAGGCUUUGCGAUCCCCUCCUCCCGCUCUCUCUCCUCCUCCACUUUUGGGAGAGUUAGAUCCGGCGGGUUUAUUACUUCCACUAGAGGAAGCUUGCUUUCCUCUUUGCUCGUGGGGCGCAUCCUUGCUGAGAUCAAAUAGUCGUUCUGCUGCGGCAUAGGCUGAGGACAGGCUUUGGACUGACGGCUUUCUCUUUCUUUUUCUUUCUUUUAGCCCACCACAAAAGAUCAAACUUUAGCUUUCUCUGACAUAUCACGGAUAUCCAGGAUCAGCCCGGCAAAUUGCUUCACGUAUUCUCUAAUUGUGCCAGUAUCUUUUAGUUCUCCUAACUUACUGAGAAUUUCUUCUCGGGGAAGAACUGAGACCGCAGCUCUUCUUUCAGUGUCUCCCACGUAUCGAUGGUCCAUCUACCCUCUUGGAUGUCCACAAAUCGGGACCUCCACCACAAGCGUCUUCUGCCAGGUGCAUCGUCGCCAAUGUGAUCAAAGACUCUUCAGUCACUGUAUUCCUAGCUCUUAAAUAUUGUUCCAAAUCAAGGUGAAAAGAAUAUUGACCAGCCUAAGAAAGAGAAAGCCUAGGCACUUGAACCCGGUUGAACUGGACCGCGCCCCGGGCUUGGUCACCGCUCUUAUGGUGAGAUUGACUCUUGCGCUGACAUCUGCAAUCUCUGUCCUGAUGACAUUAUCAGAGCUCCUCCGAGAAUUCAAUUCGUUCACCAUUUUCAUUAUCGCUUUCUCUCAGCUGUCCAAUGCAAGGCUCUUCAGGCCGUAGAGCCCAGCUAUCCCCUCCCUCGCUCGAAGCUACCCAACCUGCUAGCAUUUGCUUCUCUCAAAUGAGCAAUAUUCUUUGCACCUUGUCAUCAACUCUUUGAGGGGCAUUCCGUCUAAGCGGCCAGCUACCGCAUCGAUUCCGCCUUCUCAGAGACUUCCUUCAGCCGAGUGUCUCUAGGAAUCGAACUUGAUCAGGGACUUCUAUCAAAUAGAGCAGAUGCUCUUCCAUCUCUCCCAACCGGUCAACGUGGGACUUACCCAACUCUUUCGUAGCCGACAUGAUUACAGCUUGUUAACUUCGUGAGCCGACUUGGCUCUGAUACCAAUUCUCACGGUCGCACUUUCGUAAGCGUCUCGGAGCGAUCUAAGGCAAUCCCACACUAGAACAAGUCAGCCAAACUCAAUCCAAAUAGCCGAUGGCACGCACAAUGGACGUACUUCGCAACCCUUGAUCAAUUAGAAAAGGGGUUUAGAGGAAAAGGUUUGAGCAAAGGUUUGAAAGCAUCUUUGAGAAAAUCAAUGAGGGCUAUAAGCAGGACAAGAAGUUCUAUCUUUUCACUCGAGGAUGUGUGGAUAUGAUGAUUAGUCUGACCCCCACAUAGUACAUUUUGAACAAAAAGAGAAUUGGCAGGCUCAACUAGAAAGAAAGGAAGAAAGCCAGCGGUGGAAUAAAGAAGAAAGUUUGAGUAUAUUCACCUUUUAUUUGCCGCCUUGAUUUUGUGAAGAGGUCGGAUAUAUAGGAUUAGGAGGAGUGGGAGUGGAGAUCCCGAACUUGCAUGAGAAAAAUAGAUCAGUCAGAAAGGACUUAUCUCAUUCUAUAUGUUCCGACGCAUAAAGAAAGAGUAGAAAAAGAUAGAAAAAGGACGGGACAAUUAAUUCAAGUACGGAAUCCUCUGUCCAUGUCUUGAGGUCUAUUCGAUCUUGAUCGACUGCUUUUUCCUUAGAAGACAGCUGUCAAAGCAACCUCCUCAACCUAUCGGAAACUCCUCUGAACCUGCGAUGGAUGAUCUCUACUGGUCUGAACUUUCUUCUUAGUGAACUGAAAGGCCUACGAGGAGGCUGCUCGAGCUACCUUACCUCUCGGUAUGAGUGCGGUUUCCGUCGGAGUUCUUGAAUCGGAAAUGAGUACAUUAUCAGCCGUCCAGCGACUUUCUUAUUCUACUGUCAAAACUUCUUCCUCGCUUUUCUUUAUGGGAACUGAAGCUCGCUAGGUAGGAUGGAUGCAAAAGUCUGUCCUUCGAUAAUUGGUCGGGCAUAUUCCUUCCACUCGUGAACCCCUUCUCCUCGGAAUACGAACCUAUUCCACUGCAGAAGAACCGAGACUUCUCCUACGAAUGACUCGUAAACUGAAGAUCUUUCAAACUCCUCCGAGCAAUAUGAAAACCUACUAAAGCCUAGGAGGGAAUUCCAUUCCGGCCUGGCUUACCUUGAGAGUUGACUGACUUUCUUCCUCAUGAAACUCCAAUGCAUUCCCGAAAGAGGUCAAGCUGCAACCUAUCCUCUUGGUCUCCUCACACAGCGCGUAGUGGUGGUCGAGAUAUUAAAGGCGUAGUGGGCUGGCCGGUCUACGAAGAGAUUCUAAUAGUGAGAGAGCCAGACCCAAGUCAAGAGUUCUAUCGGAGGCCUUCUCUUGAAAACCGAGUUCUCGAUCCGAAUUCAGAUUACUCGGUCUAAUAAUGGAAGAGAGGUUCCAUAAGCAUAAGAGGAAAGCCAUACCUACUCAUAUCUUCUGCUUUCAGUUACCUCCGGGCUUCCGGUAAUCAUUGAAUCAUUACGCAUGGUCUAAUGGAAGAGAGAGAGAAAGAGCCAUUCCACUCGUCAACUUAGGAUGUGCCACCAAGGCUCAAAGAAUUUGAGAAAGAACAUCACUCCUUUCUUCUGGUCCGGUCCCGAGCAAGGUAGAUCCGCCUGUCUUUCAUGCUUUGUUUUUUCCUCUAACCUCUCGACUCGUACUCUUUCUCUCUCCUUUCUUCCUCGUGCGUGCCUAUUUGACUUUGCUGUCUCGCUACUUUCUCAGUCUGAUCCUUCAUUAUUCUUUCAUAAGAGAAUGGGAAUAUGAGCAUACGAUUUCUGAAUAAUAGCUUGACUCUCCUGGAACAAGCCACAGCCACUUCCUCAACUUCCGCAGCCACUGCUCUCGAUCCUUUCUUCUUCAACUUCAACCGCUCCUUUACCUUUAAGUAGGUUCAGACUUUCCUUUCUACAGUCAAAAUCAACCGUGGGCGUGGUGACCAAUCGUCCGCGAUGGAAUGAGAUCUUGAGUCAUAAGAAAAGGUAGGGAGAGGUGGGAAGCCGCUAUCGGUCUGAUUCAUAGGGCAUUCUUAUUCUCUUUCUCUCUUUCUUCCAAGAAGACUAGACCGACCGACCCCCACUCGGAUCGGUCUUAUUCCGCUUCUUAUUCUACUUAAUAAAUAAAGGUAAGAUAAGAAAGCCACGGGUGGUGGGAGGUAAGCUUCGUAGGACGCCCCAAAGAUGAAAGAGGAGGCUACCUACCUACAAGCUUGACUUAUAUCCUCGUAAACUACUUUUGAUAGGGAUCUCAUGAUCGGAUAGUAAUGUCAUAGGAUUGAUCAAAGAUCAAAAAGGGUUGCGAGACCUAGUUUUCUCCUUUUCUUGGGUUCGGGAAAGGGUAUCGGAUUAUGGGCGAAGCCGCUCCACUGUAUCAAGAUCGAGAACUCACCCGUAUCAGAUGGAUCGGCCGAGUCAUAGCUCUUCCGUUGCAGCAGAGUCAGAAAGAGCGGGGAACUCCGCAAUAGUAGGACUAGCUAGCGCAAGAAUCAUAUAUCUACUCAACGAAGCAGCAUAGAAAGGACAGGAGCGAAGCGAGUAUCAUCAGUCCAUUCAAUAUUCCAAAUUGAAUAAGAAAGAUUCCCGCUACGUGGGCAAAGAAAGAAGGAAAGUAAUAGAGAGUCACUCCAUUCAUAACUAGGUAGUUCUGGCUUUCUAUCUCCAUCUUAGAGUGACCACCUUCUUUUCUCAAAGAAAGCAGGCGACCAAUAUAAAAAAUAGUGGACUGCGGUCCUGCGAAGCCGGUCAACGGAUAGGCAGAGUACAAACCGAUGGUAGACUUUCUUCAAGUUUGACUUUCCAUGAACUAGUCUAUUAAAGAAGAGACGAAGAGCUUGAUUAUCCACUUAUUUCCCCCUCAAUGAUCUUGAGCAGGGUAUAUAAUGGAGAAUAGAGACUGAACUUCUUAAUAUGUAUCGUAUCACAGAUCCAUGAAAGAUCCUUUUUUCCUAGCCCCUAUUGCACCAUCUUGAUAGGAAUAGGUUGAAUGAGUCAGAGGAAGCGAGACAGAAGGCAUCGGGGCAGGGGAGUAAUCGUAAUCCGUCCCAGGAGAAUAGGAAGUAUCCGUUGAGGAAUCAGAAGUUGAAUGAGAGGAAUGAGAGACUGAAAGCAAGACGGGAUCGAUGUGCAGGUCAGAAAUCGGGGGGAUAUUUUCUAGGGAUCGGAGGCCCCGGUAACAUAACUCUCUUAUAGAAAGAGUAGGGUAGGAGUAUUCUCAGAAGUUAGUAUUCCAGAGUCAGCCUCAUCCAUUUCAUGAGUCCGAAGUUUCAGUUUCGGAAGUUGAAUCAGAGUGAGAGGAAUCAUCUUUCGGCAGAGGGCUAGGCCAGGAGGGCUUGAUGGGACUAUCUCAAUUCUCUGUUCCGGAAGCCUCAGUUAGAGGUUAUCAUAGGAUCGACCUUCACUAUCCCAAGCAGCUAUCUGCUUAGGGGCUCUCUUCUUCCAUGUCGGAGAAAGUACUUUUUCUUGAAUCAGAGUCUGAGUACGAAAAGCAUCCUUGAGUAUGAGAAGGAUAGGUUGCUAGGGAAGAAAGGAUAGAAGCAGCUUUACCGCCCACGUAGCGGGAGAGAGAAUGAGAGGGAUAGGACGUCAUCACCUUAUCAAUAGGAAGCGAUACCGGCCGAGUGCCAUUUAGUUAGGAUGCGGCUUUCCCGACGGGUAACUGAAAUUCCUAAGCAAGAUCAGUUUCAUUAUCCGUUUCCGAAGAGCUACUCUGAUAGCUUGACUCAGUAUUCUUUAUACCCCCUCUUUCAAGGGAGAAUUAUCCGACUUAGGAGGGUACCGCAUUGGGCAGAAGCAUCACAGCAGUUCCUAUAAGAAAUAUUCCCUAGUUCAGGUCGAGCAGAGCUUCAUACCGAUUAAGAAAGGGAUAAGAAGACAGCUGAGCACCGAUCCCGAAAGAAAAGAGUCUAAGUCGAAAAAUCCGCUUUUAAGAAAAUGAAGUCAAAUUCUUUGCCUCUGUCUUAUCCGCUCCUCUCCCACUGCGUAGGAGGACGGUCUAGCAGCCCUUUUUCUUGAUUACGGAAGAAGGGGCCCUAACUUUUGAGUGAUUUAGGCUAUUUCCCCUCUCCCUAUCUAUAGGUCUAGCUCCUAAGCGCGUAGUGGGCUCUGCUGCCUCGCUCGGGUCGUAUUCAUAUCUUGAAAGAAGGUCAGGUCUAGCUUUCGGCGCUCUUCCUAUGGAUCAUGAAAUGAGUACUUAUUGCCAUAGAGCCGCAUCGAUCCUAAUCUACUCUGUCUCCCUUCUGGUCUCGCUCCUUCGCUUCCUAUUUCUGAAGCUUGUUGUCGAGCUCCUUCGCUUCCUAUUAAAUGACUGACUCAUGGUUCUAAGAAUGAAAUGACUUUAGACCUGAAAGAAGACCCGAUCCGGGGCCACUUCGCUCUUCAAGCCUAUCGGUAAAGCAGCUUUCGCUGACUCUGACUUUGCCCUGGUCUACCUUCCCCAAAGAAAAAUCGAGCCCUCACUCUACUCUUGCGCUUCCUUUUCCACUCUUCUCCCUAAGGAAAGAGAGAAUUUGACUUCUACUCAGAUCAGAAAAUAGGGAAAGCUUUCUCCAACUCAUGAAAGGCGUAUGAGGCAUAUGAAAGAGAAAGAGCGGUAGUUCUCAGUCCCCUUAACCCGAUCUGACCCUAUACAAAGCGAUCUUGCUUAGAAAGUCUCUUUCCGCCACCAGAUCUGAUUCCUACUAAACUCAAUCUGACUCCGGAUCUUAUGCUCCGGCUCUCGAUGCUACCGCGUAGUGGGCCAUAGAUCUUUGCGCCUCCUCAAAAAGGGCAAUAUUCUUUGCGCCUUCUCUUCUGACUUCGGUUUUUGGAAGGUGGGCUUUCUUCUUCUUCUUUCUCAAACUAGACGCCCACUUAGCCCCGUCAGUGGCCCUUCUUUUUUGAUAUAUUUAUAUAGGCGCCCGCGAAGCAAGGCAUCCUUCAUAUUUCUCUGGGAUAGGCAGAGUACAAAAGAGAAGGAGAAGAUCGAUUGAGGAAAGCAUGAACUAUCGUUAUAGUUGUGGAAAGUAGAUCUUGAUUCUUCUUACCACCUUCUUUGAGAAAAACCAGCAAGAAUAAUGGCUUUGAUUCAAGCCGGUCAAAGUCUGGCAGAGUAGAAAAUUCGAACUUGCUUCAAGACAGAGAGUUCAAGCUAUGACGGUAGUUCUGGCGAAGUCUCUCUCUCUUCUUCCAUUAGAUGCAGUAGGGGAAUCAUCAUUCUCACUCCCUUUCCGAAGAGCUACUGACUGAGGAAGACUUGGUGCGAGACCGAGUUGGAUCGAAAGAAGCGGCUUUCCCGGAUUGAGUAGGGGACUAAGCUAUCUCAAGAGAGUAGGAGCCUCAAGCGCUUUCAAUUCGAAGUUAGAGUCAGUGGCGCUCAAUCUCCAGCUCCCCCGAGCAGCCUUUCCCGAUAGGGUCUUGAGUGAGUUAUUGCCUUUCUCCCUUUCAUAGGUUAAGUGAGUCACAACAAUCGUCAGCGAGAACUAUCUAUUUCUAUCAAGUAGGCUUACAGAGGGUAUUUCAUAAGACAGGAGAAUUCUCAGUGUCGGCUACGAAAGGCGAGACCAGUCAAAUUCUUUGACCCUAGGCUUGAUUUUCAUAUUCAAGAUUCCACUCGCAAAUUCUUUGCCCCUUAUUCAUUGAUUGCGCUUGCACGCCUAUUUUUUGGAUUUCACAGGUCCGAAGGACAGACAGGUUAAUAUGGAUAGGACUGAGGACGGAAUCAGACUUCUAAUAGAGUGUCCAGCUGACUAUCCAUUAGAAUAAGGCGAAGGCUCAAAGAAUCCCACUACGCGGGAUAGUCCGGAGGACUGGAAGGCGCAAAGAAUAUUGCCCAUUAGAGAAUUUGACUUUGGAGGAGGCGCCAUAAGACAGGGAUAUUCUUGAAUACUAUUACUUCUUAUUUGACGUUAGGCUCAUAAUAUAGUAUGAACCCUUGCGCUCCUUAAGAGUCGCUUCGCUUCUCCCCUCUCCUUUCAGUCGUCCGGAGGCUCAAAGAAUGAUCGGAGCUUUUCAUAUUGCGGAAAAGAAGAAAGGCUCUUUGAAGAUUGAGAAAUCCAUAUUAAAUUAGUAAGCGGUAGCUUUCUUACAAAGGAAAGAUUGAACCGCGUAGUGGGUCUUUCAAAGAUUAUUAUCAAUAUCAAAACAUUUAAGCGGAAGCCUUGUUCUUCCAGCGCCUAUUCUUUGUGGUGGUCCGAGCUACCGGUACUACUUUCUCCUAAUUAGACUAAUGGAAGGAAGACCGUAACCUCCUAAGCGAGCACCCCUUGUCCCUAAUAAGAUCAAAGAGCUUCUCGCCCCUUGCUUGAUCUUCCCCUGGAACCCACGGAGCGGUGGGGUUCAGAUCAGAGUGCCAUGAACAGACUGACGGAAAGAAUGAAAGACCGAUCGUCUAGUAAAUGAGAUGCCCAUUGAUACCCUUUUUCGAUGCAUGCAAAUGGACUGUCGACAAAAGAUAAUAUAGAAAAAUCAGUGAUUUUCCUCUUUUCAUUGCUUCCACCUGCGAACAUUCCCCCUUGAAUCAGUACUCUAAUCUAAGAAAGGGUCCGGGUCGUAUUCUAUCUUUCAUGAUCAAAGAGGAUGAAAUGCUGCUCGACAAGAGGGGUUGCUGUCUAACUUCAAGAAGUAUUGAAAGGUAAGACCUAUAAGAAAGAGGUCAGACCCAGAGACUGAUUUCUUUGAGUUCGCCUCUUCCUUUGGUCUUGAAUAUCUAGAUCUGAGUUCGUCGGCCUCAUUCAAGGCAUUUCACUCAAUUUCCUUUUAUUUACAUAAAAUCGCCUAGUUGAGACCGCGUAGUGGGGAUUUACUCGACUAUUAAAAACCUUGGGAAAUCCGAAGCUCUUUCCUCCCCAAGGCAGACCGAACUACAAGAGCUUUUUUCUAGAAUACGAAGAGGAGGAAUCGGAUGACGAAGGAUCAAUCAGGCAGGGAAAGGAAAGUCGGGCUUACUAGCCCGCCAUCUCAAGCUCAUCAGACCCACGUAGCGGUUCGGAGUCGGAGCGGGAAUAAAAGGAAGAGGUCUAAGUCGAGGGGUCUCCAGCUACCUGGGUAGGGUCGGCAGGUCGGGGCCGAGUGGGAGAUCCUAUUUCAGUGACUAACGAAAGAGCUUACCUCGAAGAAGAGAUGACGCAUCCUCAACUGCACUGCUACUGGUCUCGUCUUUCUCUACUGCUUGAAAGCUGACGCUUCUGACUCAAGAAAGACGGGUUAAAAAGACUAUGAAAGUCCGCCGAGACUGGUGUCUUUCACCCCCUAUUUCCGAUUUCAGUGACUAGAAAGAAAUACUAUACCGCGUAGUGGGACCCGAGCAAAGAAUAUUGCUUUAAAUAGUGGUCCGUCCGGAGGACUCAAGGAUUCCGCUAAAGUUUACCGAAGGCGCAAUGAAAUAUGCGGCGUGAGGUUAGGAUCAAAGAAUUUGAAGAGAAGAAAGGCUCUUUUCAGAUUUCGAGUUUACAAAUUAGGAGAAAGAAAUAGAAAGUGCUGAAUAAUGAACUCAUUAACGAUAAUGAAAGAAGCUCAAAAUGGGAAUGAAAAAGAAAGAGGUGAAUAUGGGAGAUUUCAGACAUCUUUGCUUAAUGAAGACGGAGGGAAAUCCCGGAAAAUGCUAGGUUUUGCCCAUAGGGAAGUAGCAAGAAAGAAAGUCAAAUGCCUUCUUUUUCACUCAAUUAUCGUGAAAUAGAUAAAACUGAAUAUGGAUAGUCCUUCGGACUGGUCCAUUAGAAAAAUCUAGUGUGUGGAAAUUCACAUUGAGAACUUAUAGUUUGUGGUCCUAAAUUCACGCUGGUACCGUAGUAGGUAAACUUUCAGGGGAAAGAGAAAGAACUUUAGGCUUUGUUGAUUUACUACGUGAUGAUUUUAUUGAAAAAGACCGAAGCCGCGGUAUUUAUUUCACUCAAGAUUGGGUCUCUUUACCAGGUGUUCUGCCAGUGGCUUCCGGUGGUAUUCACGUUUGGCAUAUGCCUGCUCUAACCGAGAUUUUUGGAGAUGAUUCUGUACUAGCGGAGGAACUUUGGGGCACGGGUAAUGCACCUGGUGCCGUAGCUAACCGAGUAGCUCUAGAAGCAUGUGUACAAGCUCGUAAUGAGGGACGUGAUCUUGCUCGUGAGGGUAAUGAAAUUAUCCGUGAGGCUAGUAAAUGGAGUCCUGAACUAGCUGCUGCUUGUGAAGUAUGGAAGGAGAUCAAAUUUGAAUUUGAGGCAAUGGAUACUUUGUAAUCCAGUAAUUACUCUUCGUUCUUUUAAUUGACUUUCAAUUAAACUAAACUCGGCCCAAUCUUUUACUAAAAGGAUUGAGCCGAAUACAAUACAAAGAUAUUAUUUUAUAUCUUUUUACUAGAUAUACAAAAUAGAAAAUUGAAAUGAGAAAGAACUGAAACAUUUUUUGAUUGUUGUGCUGGAUCCGCAAUUAAGCCUAUGGAUCCUUAGGAUUGGUGUAGUCGUUUAAUAUAUUAUAUCCCGUAGCCUCGUUUCAGAUCCGGGAUCGAGCCAAGUAUCACAACUUCUUCUACCCAUCCUGUAUAUUGUCCUUUUUGUUCUGUCUUGGAAUACAAAUUUUUGCUUUUUAGUAAACAUUAUAACGGAACCUUUUUUUUGAAGACCGACUCGUUAAUAGUUUUUAAUCCUAGUUCUUGGAUUUAGUGAUAGGAAAUGAGAUAUGAAAAUGAUUUCCUUUUUAUCGAAUGACUAUUCAUCUAUUGUAUUUUCAUGUAAAUAGGGGCAAGAAAGCUCUAUGGAAAAA